rnacentral:rRNA from 1 species
AACGAACGCUGGCGGCAUGCCUAAUACAUGCAAGUCGAACGAGAAAGCCUUCGGGUGAGUAGAGUGGCGCACGGGUGAGGAACGCGUGGGUAAUUUACCUUCUAGCCUGGGAUAACCUGCCGAAAGGCGGGCUAAUACCGGAUAAGCUCACAGGUCGCUUAGGUCCUGUGAGAAAAGGCACUAGUGGUUACUAGAAGAGAAGCCCGCGUCCCAUUAGCUUGUAGGUGAGGUAACGGCUCACCUAGGCUGCGAUGGGUAGCUGGUCUGAGAGGAUGAUCAGCCACACUGGAACUGAAACACGGUCCAG